rnacentral:rRNA from 1 species
ACUCCUACGGGAGGCAGCAGUGGGGAAUAUUGCACAAUGGGCGCAAGCCUGAUGCAGCCAUGCCGCGUGUGUGAAGAAGGCCUUGGGUUGUAAAGCACUUUCAGUCGUGAGGAAGGUAGUGUAGUUAAUAGCUGCACUAUUUGACGUUAGCGACAGAAGAAGCACCGGCUAACUCCGUGCCAGCAGCCGCGGUAAUACGGAGGGUGCGAGCGUUAAUCGGAAUUACUGGGCGUAAAGCGCAUGCAGGUGGUUUGUUAAGUCAGAUGUGAAAGCCCGGGGCUCAACCUCGGAAUUGCAUUUGAAACUGGCAGACUAGAGUACUGUAGAGGGGGUUAGAAUUUCAGGUGUAGCGGUGAAAUGCGUAGAGAUCUGAAGGAAUACCGGUGGCGAAGGCGGCCCCUGGACAGAUACUGACACUCAGAUGCGAAAGCGUGGGAGCAAACAGGAUUAGAUACCCCUGGUAGCGACUGA